CUACCUUUUACACAAUAGAUACACGAGGGUAACUACUAACUAGUAUGGCAGUGAAUUUAAGUGAAAAGGUUGAGGAAUACAAAAACAAACUGAAGACUGAGGCUGAAAAAUUGGUUUUGAAAGAUUUUCCAAGAAAAAUACUUGAAAUAGAAGAUAUUCUACAGGUGAGAAUGUGUUUUUAUA